rnacentral:sRNA from 1 species
CCAAUGAUUUUCUUCAUUUCUACUUCAA